rnacentral:rRNA from 1 species
GGGAAUCUUCCACAAUGGGCGAAAGUCUGAUGGAGCAACGCCGCGUGAGUGAAGAAGGUUUUCGGGUCGUAAAACUCUGUUGUCGGAGAAGAAUGUAUCUGAUAGUAACUGAUCAGGUAGUGACGGUAUCCAACCAGAAAG